CCUGGCUCAGAACGAACGCUAGCGGCGCGUUUCAGGCAUGCAAGUCGAACGGUAACAGGGGAGUUCGCUCCCGCUGACGAGUGGCGCACGGGUGAGUAACGCGUAGGUAAGCUACCCUAAGGUUUGGAAUAGCCUUACGAAAGUAAGAUUAAUACCGUAUAUGGUGAUAACUACAUAAGUAGUAAUCAUUAAAGCUCCGGCUCCUUAGGAUGUGCCUGCGUUGGAUUAGUUAGUUGGUGAGGUAACGGCUCACCAAGACUCCGAUCCAUAGCCGAGCUAAGAGGCUGAUCGGCCACAUUGGAACUGAGACACGGUCCAGACUCCUACGGGAGGCAGCAGCUAAGAAUCUUCCGCAAUGGUCGCAAGACUGACGGAGCGACGCCGCGUGAACGAUGAAGGCCUUACAGGUUGUAAAGUUCUUUUAUAGAGGAUGAAUGUAUGACGUAGGUCAUAUUGACAGUACUCUUUGAAUAAGGUCCGGCUAACUACGUGCCAGCAGCCGCGGUAAUACGUAGGGACCAAGCGUUGUUCGGAAUUACUGGGCGUAAAGGGUACGCAGGCGGUUUGAUAAGUCAGAUGUGAAAUCCCUUGGCUUAACCUUGGGGCUGCGUCUGAUACUGUCGGACUAGAGUUACUGAGAGGAAGGCGGAAUUCCUGGUGUAGGGGUGAAAUCUAUAGAUAUCAGGAAGAACACCUAUUGCGAAGGCUGCCUUCUGGCAGUUAACUGACGCUGAGGUACGAAAGGUAGGGUAGCAAACAGGAUUAGAGACCCUGGUAGUCCUACCUGUAAACGUUGUAUACUAGGUGGUGGAAGCAUUGACCUUUCACUGCCGGAGCUAACGCAUUAAGUAUACCGNCUGGGGAGUAUGCCGGCAACGGUGAAACUCANAGGAAUUGACGGUGGCCCGCACAAGCAGUGGAGCAUGUNGUCUAGUUCGACGAUGCGCGAGAAAC
rnacentral:rRNA from 1 species